rnacentral:lncRNA from 1 species
GCAAUUUUAGAAGAUUACGGCAGUUUCUUCAACCCAAAAUUGUCCUCCACGUUCUCUGAGCAUCACAGUUCUCUCCCUCUCAAGAACUAAUUCGAAAGCCAAACUAAAUGCCGAGGACGAGUUGCAGUGAUCAGCUCGAUUUCAAAAGGCGGAGCUCUGAAACCAUUUGAUAUCCUUGUCGGGUGCUUUCAAUUACACUAGAAGAUAAUAUGGUUUUGCUAUUCUUAGAUGAACACAAACGGAUCAAUUUGACCGUUUGAGUACCAGAGAUUUUGUGUAACUGUGUUACUAAUAAAGACUAUGAGGCAAUCUCAAUAUGGAUGAGGCAGCUCAAGAGAUUGGUAAGAAGACAUCUAAUAUGCUUUUGUAGGUUCACAUGAUCCUUUUAAUCAUUUUUAGUUU